rnacentral:rRNA from 1 species
AGAGUUUGAUCCUGGCUCAGAACGAACGCUGGCGGCGUGGCUAAGACAUGCAAGUCAAACGGGUUAUUUAAUUUAUUAGAUAACUAGUGGCGAAAGGGUGAGUAAUGAAUAGAUUACGUACCUUGUGCUUUGGGAUAGCGUCUGGAAGCUUGCUUCCUUCCGAAAGGGGCGGUAAUACCAAAUAAUAUCAUUGUAUUAAUUAUGAUGAUCAAAGAUUUAUCGGCAUAAGAUCGGUCUAUUUCCCAUCAGCUUGUUGGUAGGGUAAUGGCCUACCAAGGCAUCGACGGGUAGCGGGACUGAGAGGUUGGCCCGCCACAUUGGGACUGAGACACUGCCCAGACCCCCACGGGGGGCUGCAGUAACGAAUAUUGGACAAUGGGCGAAAGCCUGAUCCAGCGACGCCGCGCGUAGGAAGAAGUCUCUCGGGAUGUAAACUACUGUCAGGGGUUAGAAAGUCUUCGGAUUGAUCAACCCCAGAGGAAGCCACGGCUAACUCCGUGCCAGCAGCCGCGGUAAGACGGAGGUGGCGAGCGUUGUUCGGAAUCACUGGGCUUAAAGCGUGUGUAGGCGGAAAUCCAAGCGUUUUGUGAAAUCCCUCGGCUUAACCGAGGAAUUGCUUGGCGAACUGGGUUUCUUGAGGCAGAUAGGGGUGUGUGGAACUCUUGGUGGAGCGGUGGAAUGCGUAUAUAUCAAGAGGAACGCCAAUGGUGAAGACAGCACACUGGUCUGUUCUGACGCUGAGACACGAAAGCGUGGGUAGCGAACGGGAUUAGAUACCCCGGUAGUCCACGCCGUAAACGAUGUCUACUAGGCUGUGGUCGUUUCUGACACGAUCGCGGCCGAAGCAAAAGUGAUAAGUAGACCGCCUGGGGAGUACGGUCGCAAGGCUAAAACUCAAAGGAAUUGACGGGGGCUCACACAAGCGGUGGAGUAUGUGGAUUAAUUCGAAGCAACGCGCAGAACCUUGCCUGGGUUUGACAUGCUUGGAUGCCCAUCUGGAAACAGAGUAGGCUGCCUUCGGGUGAAACUUGCACAGGUGCUGCAUGGCUGUCGUCAGCUCGUGUCGUGAGAUGUCGGGUUGAGUCCUUUAACGAGCGAAACCCUUGCCGUUAGUUGCCAGCGAGUAAUGUCGGGGACUCUAACGGGACUGCCGGUGUUAAACCGGAGGAAGGUGGGGAUGACGUCAAGUCCUCAUGGCCUUUAUGCCCAGGGCUUCACACGUGCUACAAUGGCAACUACAGAGCGACGCGAUACCGCGAGGUGGAGCAAAUCGCAGAAAAGUUGCCUCAGUUCGGAUUGCAGGCUGUCAACUCGCCUGCAUGAAGUUGGAAUCGCUAGUAAUCGCGUGUCAGCUAUAACGCGGUGAAUGUGUUCCUGAGCCUUGUACACACCGCCCGUCAAGUGAUGGGAGUUGGGAGUACCCGAAGUCGGAUUGCUAACCUUUUAGGAGGCGUCUGCCGACGGUAAGCCCGAUGACUGGCACUAAGUCGUAACAAGGUA